GCCGCCCCCACCUGGCCUAUCUCCGUCCCGGGCCUGGCUCUGCGCUCCCCACCUGGGCAUGGGCGCGACGUGACUAGAGCAGCAGCCACCAUAGGGGCCGCUCCCGUGCGGGGCAGCCUGGGCUAGUCGGUCAGGGCAAUGGCCAGUGGCUCUGAGGCAGCAGCAGUAGCCGGGGAACUUAGGACCCAGCUUGGAGCCAGGGCCUGCGCUGGGAAAUGCACCUCAGUGAGCAGCGCCGUGUUCGCCCCAGCCCAGCCCAGGGGUUGAUUACAAACAACUUGCUUUUUCCUGUGGCAGUAUAAGCCAGUCUGGAAACAAGGCCAUUCACACUAGAUAAAAGGAUGACAAUAUGGAUGGUCCCUUCAACAAAACCACCAAAGAUGAGAUCAAGCCCUGUCCCGUAAAACCCAAGGACCAAACACUUAUUUGCUCUUCAACAGGGACCAACUUCAAGGGACAAUCCUGAUACUAGGUUUGAAUCAUUCACAAAAGUGCCAAGAUAACCUAUGAAGCUGUCCUCGGACAACUAAACCGUGUCUUUGAUAUGGAGUAUGAUGUAUAGUUUUAACUGUAACGAACUGAAUAAAACUUUACAUAAAAGGU